ACUGAAAGCCUGGUGCAUGAAAUCCUCUGUUUAUCCACAGUGACAGGUACAGCAUGAGCAGCAGCGGUACAAGCUUCCCCUCACUGACUCCUCAGUGAUGAGAAGGUAUGUCCUUCUUCACUCUUGCUGGGCCUUGGCCUCU
rnacentral:sRNA from 1 species